rnacentral:rRNA from 1 species
AGUGAACGCUGGCGGUAGGCCUAACACAUGCAAGUCGAACGGCAGCACAGGAGAGCUUGCUCCCUGGGUGGCGAGUGGCGGACGGGUGAGGAAUACAUCGGAAUCUACUUUUUCGUGGGGGAGAACGUAGGGAAACUUACGCUAAUACCGCAUACGACUUACGGGUGAAAGCAGGGGACCUUCGGGCCUUGCGUGAUGGAAUGAGCUGAUGUCGGAUUAGCUAGUUGGCGGGGGAAAGGCCCACCAAGGCGACGAUCCGUAGCUGGUCUGAGAGGAUGAUCAGCCACACUGGAACUGAGACACGGUCCAGACUCCUACGGGAGGCAGCAGUGGGGAAUAUUGGACAAUGGGCGCAAGCCUGAUCCAGCCAUACCGCGUGGGUGAAGAAGGCCUUCGGGUUGUAAAGCCCUUUUGUUGGGAAAGAAAUCCAGCUGGCUAAUACCCGGUUGGGAUGACGGUACCCAAAGAAUAAGCACCGGCUAACUUCGUGCCAGCCGCCGCCGUAA